AAAAGGGGAGACGUGUGACGGGGGUUCUUUUUGGUGACACAGAAGCGGGUUCCAGCAUCUAAGUGAAGAGGCUGACUGGAACCCUACAUGGAUGAGAACUUCAUCUCCAGAGCCUUUGCCACCAUGGGGGAGACCGUAAUGAGCGUCAAAAUUAUCCGAAACCGCCUCACUGGGAUCCCAGCUGGCUACUGCUUUGUAGAAUUCGCAGAUUUGGCCACAGCUGAGAAGUGUUUGCAUAAAAUUAAUGGGAAACCCCUUCCAGGAGCCACACCUGUAAGGACAUUUAGAUAAUGAUGAUGUUGCCAUUAUUAUUGUCGUUGCUUACUACCAUCUAUUGACUCCCUACUGUAUACUUAUUUUAUUUAAUCCUAUAACAACCCUUUACAGUAGGCAUUGUUAUCUUUGUAGGCCCAGGAAACUGAAGCUCAGGGAAUUGAAAUAACUUGCCCAAGGCAACACAGGUAGUAAAUGGCAGAGCCAGGAUUCAGACUGAAGAUUGGUUGCCUCCCAAAUCCAUGCCUUUCCAUUCUGCAUCGCUGCCUCCCAUAACCGAAGACUUGAAACUCUAGACCU
rnacentral:sRNA from 1 species